ACUGACUGAUCUAUUUUUUUUAGAUAUAUGAUUGGAAGUUUGAAUCAAAACGUUUGUGUCUAUUUGAAUUUUCGUUAACAUUUCUAAGAAGGAAUAUAUGUCCGGACGAGGUGUGUAAAAACAUGAAUUCAAUUUUGAAUGGAAGCUUUACACAUCACUACACAUCACUACACAUACUGCACGUGAUUGUCAAAGAUUAGUUACGAAUAGUACGUUUCUACGUAUGGAAAUAAAUGCAAACUGACACAGUGUAAUAUUAUUAGUUAUCAAUGCAUUUUAUUCAUAAAGAUAAAUAUUGUUAGCAAUAAUAUCGCGGACGCACAUGCGAUGUACCAAAAUCUUUAGCGAUAUUAUUGCGGACGCAGUUGUGCUAUUAAAAAGGUACGAUAAUAUGAUUAACGGGGCGCACUCGGGCGACGCCUGAUCGGUUUGCGGGAUUCGGGUCUGUGGCUCCGCUCGUCUUUUGCUCGUCUUUCGCCGUCGUUUUUGUCGCCGAUUGCCGUGGCAUCGAUUCUUCUGGCUGCUGUGCCUGCACACCGUCGGUGAUUGUUUGAAGCUCCAGUGAACGUCGGAUGUCCACCGUCCUGUCUGCCCAACUCCGACGGUAUAUGGUCGCUCACGCCGGGUCUCGCAAUAUUUGGUCGGUGAACAUCCGGUUCACCACCUGUGCUUUCUCCUUCAGCAGUUCAGCCUCGCCUCCGUCGCUCGUUGUGUCUAGAAAGGACGGUUAAUAUAGAUAUUCCACCAUAUUCACCGGAGGCAUCGAUCAUACUCCAGAAAACACACGAAGAAGAUCGAAGAGCCGGAGAACACAUCUUGCAGCUAUACGCCUCCGGCCGAACCGACACCGUUGGUUUGCGUGGAGGAGAAAGCACCGGCGGCGACUACCAGCAUUUCGCGCGGGGAGUCGCCGGUACAAGUACUCGCACCAUGCAAACCAACGGUGCUAACGGUUAGGAAAAAGCUUUUAAAAUUAAAAGAAAAGAUUGAAUCAAGAAAGUUGCAGGCAAAACAGAGAACAGACCCGGAGACCUAAGACAGUGACGUAUGUGAUGCUGUGCCUCGCCACCCUCUCACCGCCGUCCCUAUAACGUAUGUGACCCCCCGCACAACGGUCCGAAACAUCAUUCAAAAUUUUAAUUUUUAUGUUUUUUUUUUUUUUUAAUAAAAUCGUUAUCUGCACACCCUAGGGAAUAGGCAAACAGGGUUACAACCUUCUAGGUCCAAUUUCACGGACACAGUGUAGCAUCGUUCGCAAGAUAUUUUCUUAUUUCUAUCCCUAUCACGUAGUAUUUCGUUGUCUUACUUGUACGUAAUAUACGGCCGUUGUAUAAAUACUUUUAUAACCACAAAUACUGUUAAUAUAAAUCAUGAGUAUCCUUGAAUAUUACAAAAGACUAAAAAUAGAUUUUGAUUUUUUUUUUUCUAUUUUAUAUCGUACUACAAAUAUUUAAAAAAAUUGAUUUUGAGCGUUUUGUUAUUUGUUAAAGAGUGCCACUUAAAAUUACGCAAUUUUUUCAUUUGUAGAACAAAUGGAAACUAUAGAGCAAGUCCUUAGCUAUUCAAAAACCAACAUUUUUUACGACGUAUGUGAUGCUGUGCCUCGACACCCUCUCCCCACCGUCCCUAUAACGUACGCGGUAAUCUCCCUCGUGCCCCUCCACCCGAUAAUUCCCAUUACAUACGCAAUGGGCCUCGCCAGCCUCUCCCCGACAACCCAAUGACGUACGGUACCAGCAAUGUGCAUCUCUAUAACGUUCGUUCUAAAGUUCACCGCCCCCAGUGGGUUAGGCACCCUAAUAAUAACUUCUACGUGUAGGGCAUAACGUGUAACGUGUAUUUUAUAUACAGUAGAACUCCGAUUAUCCGAACGCCAAUCAUCCGGACGAGUAAAAAAAAGCUUUUUUUGGCUUAAAAAUACGUCACAUAUUAUAAUUAAGGCUUAUUUUGUUUCAGAUAAAUAUAUAAUAAAAUUAUUUGUUUAUGGUUACGAAUUUUAAAUUAUAUUACGUAUAUAUUAAUGAUAAAUACAUACAUACAAUAUAUUCAUACAGUUAUAUAACUUUUCAUGUAUCAUACGCCAAUCAUCCGGGUAUUUGCUUGUCCGGACCGCCCUUGACAUUAAUUAGUCCGGAUAAUCGGAGUUCUACUGUGUAUAAAAUAUACUAUUGUUUUGUAUAAUAUUUUAA